UGAGGUUAGACCCCUCAGACUCCUUACUUUCAAAGGAUCAAAGCUAAUCCGUUGG
rnacentral:tRNA from 1 species